rnacentral:rRNA from 1 species
UACGGAGGGUGCGAGCGUUGUCCGGAAUCAUUGGGCGUAAAGGGCGCGUAGGUGGCGGGACAAGCGUGCGGUGAAAGCUCGGGGCUCAACCCCGAGUCGGCCGUGCGAACUGUUUUGCUUGAGCACUGUAGAGGCAGGCGGAAUUCCGGGUGUAGCGGUGGAAUGCGUAGAGAUCCGGAGGAAGACCGGUGGCGAAGGCGGUCGCUGGGCAGUUUCUGGACACUUGAGGCGCGACAGCGUGGGGAGCAAACAGGGAUUA